AUGCUGAGCGCUGCGUUGUCUUCUUUCCUUGCUAGUGGUCUCAGAGGAAGAGCUUGGAGAAGAUGCGUGGGUGAUGCGUCGUCGUCUGCUGCAGUGUUCUUUUGUGGUGGCAUCAUACCUCUGCUGUUCAUUGCAGUCUUACCAGAGCGAUUUGAUAGGAUACAGUUUCUACUGGGGGUUACAUUUGUCAUGGUCGGAGCCAUCCUAGUUGUUUAUCUCGUGAUGAGGGAUAGGAAGAUGAUCCCACUGAUCCCACAAGGUGCUGAGCAACGCCCUUUCCCUUGGCUUGUAUUCUCCGUUGGCAUGGUAGGAUCUGUUUUGGUGGUCCUAUUCGCUGCUAAGAUCAACGGCUUAAGGUCGGAGCUUUUCAAAGACACAUACGGCUGCGGUAGGUACAAUCCUACAUACAAGCUCUUCUGAUACACACUACAUAACGAGUAGUAAGAUGGAUCUUUGGCUUUGGGGUAUGGUGGUGAUAUUCUUCAUUUUUCACAUGGACAUAUUAUACUCGGUUCCUCAUUUGAUUUUCUUCAUGUACAUAUGAGCUUGGUUCCUUUGGAAACUUUAAAUACAUCAUCUCACCUUGUUGUUUGCUCUUACACAAUGUUGUGGGUUUUGAUUAGUUUGUAAAUAAAUCUUUCAUUUGAUCUCUGCCUUAUCUGUUACGCAAGUAGACUGAUUGAUAAUCUACAACGAGUUUGUUUUUACAGCAGAACACAAAAUAUACUAGUAGGCAAACAGUAAUACAACAAACGUGUUGUUUUAAAAAGGUCACCUGUCCAAACUCUUUCUUUUAUCUCUUUGGGUAGGCGAAUAGAGCACAUAAACAAGAAAAUUUUACACUGGGAAACACAAUUUGAGUUCUCAAUUAUUCUAAAAGACACAUCUCUAGUUGACACACUUUUUUUUAGCAAUUUUACCAAAGUAACAUUUAGUUAAUGAGAUGGUCUAUUUUGUUAGCAUUUCUAAUUAGACAUAAUCAAUUUGCUUUUUGCUUCUUUUUUAAACAAAUAAACUAUCUUUUUUUAUCACCUAAUAAUUUUAUCUCUUCAAAUCUCUAAAAUGACAAAAGACUUACAAAGAGAACCCGUGACCCCUUUCUCCUUCGAUAUCUUUCGAUCUAGAAAUUGAUCUAUGACAUCAGAGGCAAGAGAAAUUGAAUCUUAAUCUUCUAGAUCUGAAAUCGUCUCUAAUUCCCUAAUCUCUCUUUCGUGAUCUUCUCGAACUCUAUUUCUCUCCCCCGCCAACUGUUCUUUCUCGCCACCGUUGUUUCCCAGACAAUCUUCAACUGCGCCCUACAUCCCGGUGAGACUGCACUCUAGAUACUUACAUAACACAACGCUUCAUCAUGCAAACAUUCUUUCACCGAUUCUUUUUAUUUUCUUUCUUAGGUCCCACUUCAGCCGGAGGAACAAGAAUCACUUGAAAGCCACUCUCCUAUCAUUAGCCAAUAUGCCACACAACACAAUCUCCACCCAGACCAAAGCCUACAAGAUCACACUGGAAUUGUUGCCAACAUCGGCAUCCAUACACUCACUGACCACCAGAGCCUUGACCACAACACUCCCGACACAACAACACUCCCCCUAACCACGAGAGUCUCAUCCACAACACACCCGACCACCACAACAAUCACACUAACCACGAGAGUCCCAUCCACAACACACAUGAGGACCCCAAUCCAACCACUAACAAUGGGAGUUUCAUCACCGUUCUAGGUAUUGACUACACUUUGGUCGAUCACCGUUCCACUACCGAGAACUCGUUGCAGCUUAUACAUCCUUGUAAGCAGUAGCUAUUAUGUAUCUAUUUCAUUAAUGUCGUUGAUGUUGUUGUCGGGAUAUGUGAGGUGCGGAUAUGACUGCUGUGGACAGAGGAUGUGUGGAUGUGAUCGGUGUGGACGGCAAUUGUGUGGAUGUGGUGGCUGUGGACAUCAGAGUAGGGGGAGGGGGGGUGGUCAAGUGCGCAAUGGUCAUAUAAAAAGUGGUCAGAUGAUAUAUGGAUAACUAUGAAGAUCCCACCUUUGUCUUCCAUGUUCUGGGUAUUUACGAAAUUUGUAUAAGAUGAUAGCUUUUGCAUUUUGUAAACGUUUGUAUUUCUUUUCGUAUUAUACAAUUAGGUUUUGUUCAUAUACAUUUUUGUUAUAAACCAAAAGAAAAAUCUAUCGUUAGAUCUUGUGUCUGUAAGUAGAUCCAACGCCCCAAAAAUUUCACUUUUACCCAUAUAUCUACUUUUUCGUUUUAACUUUUAUUAUUUAUUGUAACUAAAAACAAACUUAGUUUCAUUUUGCUCAACUUACGUUUUCUUUCUUAAGAUAAACACAUUUCUCUUUACAUAAAAAGUAGGGUUAUUUCUGUCCACAAAAAAACAGCUGUCAUGAAAAAGUGUGUCAAAGAGAGAAUGUGUCUCUUUACGUAAACGAAAGACAUAUUGUGUCUCUCAGUGUAACUCUCUCAAGCAUCAAAGGAUGACACAUCAAUUAUUCAUGAUUUUUUUACUAGGAAUUAGCAAGGCACGCGUUUUGUUUCUUCGUAGCGUCUUCAUUAAUUUACGAGGAAAUAGCAAGACCCAUAUUUUUUGUAUGAGAAAAUACAAAAGCCCGCGUUUUCUUAUUACGAAGUCUUUUUGACGAAUUCUGCUUACGUGAAAUUAACGAGUCCCGCAUUUAUUAUUUUUAGGAUUCGUCGUAAUUUCUUCGUUAGUUUACGAGGAAUUAACGAGGAUUAUGUUUAAAUCUCUAAAAUCCGAAUCCCCAAACCCCAUCUUCCUUAUCUUCUACUACAUAUAUUCCAAACCCCAAACCCAUCUUCCCUUUAACCUUCACAGGAGGCCUGUCUGACAUGUCCGAUUAACUGCUUUUUAUUGGCUGAUUAUUUUGGGUGACGUGGCAGCCUAUAAUCUCUGCAUAUAGGGCUUUUAGUAUUGUGAUUGUUGGUAUAUACUUUCUUUGUUUAAUAAAGAUGUAAGUUUUAUAAUUUUCAUAUAUAUUAAAGAAAAACAUAUUAAAUAUUGAUUAUUAAUGCACUAUUCUUUUGUAAUUAACUAUUUUCAAUAAUUUUUAACCAAUAAAGUUUCAAUAAACACAUUUGUCUUUUUGAAAUUUACAAUUUAACAUUACAUAAUGCAUUGAAAAUAUGUAAAAUGUAUUUUUUGAAACAUUUUUUUGUAGAAUAUAGAUUUUUUUGACAGAGAGAAGUAUAAAUAUGUCAAUUUUUUGGUCUGGUUUAUGAUAAGAAUGUGUUAAAGCCAUACAAUCAUUGGUAUUGAUGGUAACAAUGUUGGAUACUUUUUUCCAGAAGAAAUGGAGGAUGAAGAAUUAGACGAAGAGGGUUUCUUGUUUUUCCUGCAGCCACCACUGACCAGAAUAUUCUUUAGAAUGCUGCCUUUGGUCCAGUAACAGAGACAUGAUUUGCACAAGUAAUGAAGAUGUUGUUAUUGUAGUAACAUAAAUUAGUAUGUGUUGGCUCGCAACAAGGACACUUCCAAGCAGGGGCGAAGCCAGACUUAAUGAAAAACUUAGAUGGGUGGUGCAUCAAACUUGGGUUCUUUAAAUAUUGUGAGUGCCAUAGGCAAAUAAGUCAACUUCUAACUCAUAUGUCCACCAUAGAAAGUAAAUUUUUUAAAUAAGAUUGGAUGCAUUUGCACCCAUAAAGCUUAACGUAGCUUCGCCCCUGCUUCCAAGGAUGGUUGUGAGCUGUGUAAGACCCCAUCAUCUCAUUCUCACCAAAUUGUGAAAACCCGAGAAAAGCACAUGCAUAAUAUCAAUUAUAUCAAAAUAGUCAACAAAAAUAUAUCCUUCAAAAUCUAGUUGUAAUUAAGUGUACAAUAAUCUUUUGAUAUUUUAGAAAAUUGGUAAACAUAAUUUUGGUGUUUUAUUGAUAUUGAGUAUAGUAUAUACAAGAAAAAGUUUCAAAAAUUUGGACCAUGAAAAUAUGUGAAUCCUUUUUACUAGCUAAAUAGUUUAGAAAUUUUAAACAAAAUGAAUUGGACCCUACGCAAAUGUGCCACCUUCACAUAUACAUGCACAAACACAUAUAAAGAAUGGACCUUAAGAAAGAGAGAUGGAAAAUAACUUAUCUAUUUCAUCAUUUACAUAUGUGAUCUAUACAUUUCAUGUGGGUAUGUUGUUUGCAUUCUUCAGACUUCACCCCCUGAUGGUUUUGCUUAAUUUUGAGUACACUAGAACAUAAAAUUGAAUACCAAGAAGAGAAAUAGAAAUAUACAUUUUUGGACAUUUUUUGCUGUGUUAAUUGAUAUUGGAUGCUUUACUUUGAAUAAUUAGAUGAUUGAAAUUUACAUAUUUUUUAUUAUAAAAAAUGUUGAUAUUAGCACAUCACAUGUUGAUAAUUUUUUGACAUUUAAACAAAUAUAUACUAUGAACACUACAUUAAAAAAAAGUGAGAAUAUCAUAUUAGUAUAAUAGUUUUAUAAUUUUGGUGAACAAGUUUCAUGCAGUUGUUACCAUUCGACGUAAAUGAGUCCGUCUUUGUGGAUAAGUAUGGGCUGAAAAUGAUUGAACCGGGUUAACCGUACAAAUCCUGAUCAACCCGGAUUAAAGCAAUUAAAAUCUAAUUUUAAAACGUUUUUUUUCUGUUGCAAUCGCAGUUUCCAAGACGGCGUUUUCCACGGUAUAAAACAGAAACGAAAGCGCCAAAAAGAAAAGAAACGUUGAUUAUUAUCUCUCAGUCUCUGAGUCAUCUUCGUCUUCUUCGUCUUCCUCUGAGAAGCUCGCGCUUACCUUCCUUCUUCCAUCGCUCUUCCUCUGUAAGUAGACUCAGAGUCUCUUGUCUCUUGUACGCUACGCCUCUGAGAUUCUCUCAGUACUCAUACGGUUCUCUGUAUCUUUUAGCUUAGCUCUUUUUGUCUCUUUCGUGUACGUUCGCUAAAGGCCUAAAGCCGAUCACUUUCUUGCUGGGUUUAUGAUUCUCCUUUGGAAAGAUUGAGUCUUUUCACAUUCUUGUUUUGUGAUUGGGAUGUAUAAUGCGAUUGUUCUUGUUGAUUUACUCUGAGACUUGUUUGCGCAUGACUGCUUCUUAUCUCAUCCUUGUGUCCCUCUUUCUUUUUCAGCAUAAUGGAGAUGCAAAGGAACGACCCAGUGGAUAGAAUCCCUCUGUUCGUAAGUGCUUUGAAUGGCGCCAUACUGGUCGCAUCUUUCAUGGCCAACCCAGCAGACAUGCCAGUUAACCUACGCCUCUCGAUGUGGCUUUUGAGCUUGUCCAUGCUGAGCGCUGCGUUGUCUUCUUUCCUUGCUAGUGGUCUCAGAGGAAGAGCUUGGAGAAGAUGCGUGGGUGAUGCGUCGUCGUCUGCUGCAGUGUUCUUUUGUGGUGGCAUCAUACCUCUGCUGUUCAUUGCAGUCUUACCAGAGCGAUUUGAUAGGAUACAGUUUCUACUGGGGGUUACAUUUGUCAUGGUCGGAGCCAUCCUAGUUGUUUAUCUCGUGAUGAGGGAUAGGAAGAUGAU
rnacentral:lncRNA from 1 species